rnacentral:snRNA from 1 species
AGCUUUGCGCAGUGGCAGUAUCAUAGACAAUGAGGUUUACUCGAGGAGUGAUUAUUGCUAACUGAAAAACUGAUGAACAUAGGAAGUGCAUGUCUGUAGCUUAAUAGUACAGUCAGCCAACUUGAGACCUAGGCUCAGG